ACAACCUGUGGAAGGGUUCUGAACUGUCUUUGUGUGAAGCACAGAUUAAGUGAGGCAGUGGGUAUUAUAAACCUUAUGGUGCAGAAUGGCAUUGUUCCGGAAGAAGUGAACUCAAUUUUUGAAGCUGACAAGAAGGAAGUAGCUGCACCUAAAAUUGUUGUGGAGCAUCUAAUGAAGAAGUCCCAUAUCACAUACUAUAGUUAUGAACUGUUGUAUGAUGGAAUUCGGGAUAGAAAGUUGGAUAAGAAAAAGUUGUUGGACAAGAAAAAGUUCAAGAGAAGCCCUUCCCUAGGUCCAGGGAAGGGGCAUUUGAAUCUUCAUAGACCUAUAUAAAAGAUCAUAAUGGACAGUGAAUCGUCUUGGAAAUCCACAAAGAUUGAUUGCCUACAGUUUCAUAAAUAGCAAGGCAUCCAGUUAUGUGUAGAAGCACAGGUGAGAAGGUAUAGAAUCUGCAGACGAUGUCUAAGGAUAAUUGUGCAUUUUACUAUUGAAAAUGUAUAGAGGGAAAGAGUGAUCCCUAAAUCAGGAACAAAUAUUGGUCGGAAUUAAAAUAUGGUACGAUUUUUGGUAUCAUUCUCUUUGUUACUUUGCACAAAUUAUAAUGAAUAAACAAGUUUUGAGCAA